GACGAACGCUGGCGGCGUGGAUUAGGCAUGCAAGUCGAACGGUAGGAUACCUUCGGGUAUCUGAGAGUGGCGAACGGGUGAGUAACACGUAGGUGAUCUACCCUCAAGAUUGGGACAACCCAGGGAAACUUGGGCUAAAUACCGGAUGAAAGCAGCAGUGAUGUUGUUUGAAAGGUGGCGUAAGCUGCCGUUUGGGGAUGAGCCUGCGCUCUAUUAGUUAGUUGGCGGGGUAAAGGCCCACCAAGGCGAUGAUAGAUAGGCGGCCUUAACGGGUGGUCGCCCACACUGGGAUUGAGAUACGGCCCAAGACUCCUACGGGAGGCAGCAGUCGAGAAUAGUCUACAAUGGCCGAAAGGCCUGAUAGUGCGACGCCGCGUGAACGAAGAAGCCCUUCGGGGUGUAAAGUUCUUUUAUAUGUGAGCAGUGCUUUCUAUGUGAACAGCAUGGGGAGAGAGAUAUUAGCAUAUGAAUAAGCAACGGCUAACUCCGUGCCAGC
rnacentral:rRNA from 1 species